rnacentral:lncRNA from 1 species
CAAACGCACAGAAGGUACUAUGCGCAGAAUUCAUGUUGGUUGGAGUAGCCGGUCACUGGUGGGAAUCAGUCUCACGCACUAGGACCGAAGAACAGCAGCAUAACUUAACUUGGGAACAAUUUAAGGAUGACGUGAUGGCAAAGUACUUUCCACAAGCUCUGAGAGAUUUCAAGGAAUCUGAGUUUCUACAGCUCAGACAGGGAACCUUAUCACUUACUGAUUACGAGAGGCAGUUCGAACAACUCUCAAGGUAUGCCCCAUACUUGGUGGAUACGGAAGUUAAGAAAAUCAGAAGGUUCGAGAAUGGACUACGACCAGAGAUCGGCAUGAUCAUUAUGUCUCACCGUUUCACUUCAUAUCAUGAAAUGUUGGAAAGGGCUCAUGCUAUUUCAUAUCAAAGGACUACAUUUGAACAGUAUUCCAAGCAAAGCAAGGAGUCCUUGGGAAAAAGAAGGUGGAAUGAUCAUAGCAAGGACACACGUAACUGGUCGAAUAAAAGACCAAGCACAGGAAUUCGUAUUGGUGGGACAAAUGGGAUUAUUCCACCUUGUCCUAAGUGUAAUAAACUCCACAAGGGUGAAUGCUUAUUUGGUAAGAACAUGUGCUUUCGAUGUGGUAAGCCGGGACACAUUGCCUUACACUGUACAGAACCUCCAAAGAAGAAAGAUGAUGAUCAGGACAAGAACAAGAAGGGGAAGGCCCGAGUUUUUGCACCAAACCAGCAUGAGGC